UACGAAGGGUGCAAACGUUGCUCGGAAUCAUUGGGCGUAAAGCGCACGUAGGCGGCCUUGUAAGUCGGAUGUGAAAUCCCGCGGCUCAACCGUGGAAGUGCAUUCGAAACUGCUUGGCUCGAGUAUGGAAGAGGGUCGCAGAAUUCCCGGUGUAGAGGUGAAAUUCGUAGAUAUCGGGAGGAAUACCAGUGGCGAAGGCGGCGACCUGGGCCAAUACUGACGCUGAGGUGCGAAAGCGUGGGGAGCAAACAGG
rnacentral:rRNA from 1 species